rnacentral:rRNA from 1 species
CCUACGGGAUGCUGCAGUGGGGAAUAUUGGACAAUGGGCGAAAGCCUGAUCCAGCCAUGCCGCGUGUGUGAUGAAGGCCUUCGGGUUGUAAAGCACUUUCAGUGGGGAAGAAAGCCUUGGGGCUAAUACCCUCGAGGAAGGACAUCACCCACAGAAGAAGCACCGGCUAACUCCGUGCCAGCAGCCGCGGUAAUACGGAGGGUGCGAGCGUUAAUCGGAAUUACUGGGCGUAAAGCGCGCGUAGGCGGUCUGAUAAGCCGGUUGUGAAAGCCCCGGGCUCAACCUGGGAACGGCAUCCGGAACUGUCAGGCUAGAGUGCAGGAGAGGAAGGUAGAAUUCCCGGUGUAGCGGUGAAAUGCGUAGAGAUCGGGAGGAAUACCAGUGGCGAAGGCGGCCUUCUGGACUGACACUGACGCUGAGGUGCGAAAGCGUGGGUAGCAAACAGGAUUAGAUACCCUUGUAGUC